UCCGCCCCUUCCACAUAUAAAGAUCGUAAAGUUAAUCUCAUAAAUUACACAUAUAAAGUUAAAAUGUACAUUAAACACAUACAUGUGUGGGACAUUUCUCAAUCAUGUAUAAAAGGUUGUGCAGUGACUCGUCACUGAGUAUGGAGCAUUAUCCCACUCACAUUCCGGAGGUUAUUAGCCUUCCAGCUCAUUCGCUGGUAAGUUACACAAUAAAGAUUAUCCCUGUUUUUCACCAUUCCUGUCUAGACUGGAUACAUAGAGAUUUCAAUGGAAAAAAGCGUCCCAACAAAAACAAGAAAAGAGACCACCCUGGAUUCAAAGGUCAGAGGUCAUCAGGGAGCGAAGAGAAAGUCAAGAAAGGUACUGAAAAUAGCAAGAAUUAUAGAUGUGUGCUUUAAAAAGGACUUGUUAUUUGACAAUUCUAUAAAAAAAAAUUGUUUAGGCUAUGCUGGCAGUUAAUUGUUCAUAUUUAGAGUAAAGGCCCUUCAUUAAUUAAUUAACAAUGCAGACACUGUUGUACAUGCAUAUUCUGAAUAUGAGUAGCCCUGCAUACAAUAAAACUGAGUUGAGCAGAUGCUUGAGAAUUCUAAAUCUAAAAAUGAGUGAGCGCAAGAAAGACAUGGCAGAAAUGCUUCAUUCAGAUGAGUCUAGUAGAUCACCUACUACAGAUACAUACUUUUGCACAGUUUGAGAAGGCUUAUUUACAUUGGAGUCUCAGUGCAGCUGAGCCACUGGACACAUUAUGCAAUUAAAAAUAGUUUUAACACUUGUCUUUAUUUUUUCUCAAAGUUUACCACAAGGAAGCCUGAAAUUCUGUCGAAGAGUACAAAAGCAGAAUUGAGAAGUCUACCUGUGGGUGAAAAAGCAAUUUACCACCUUGAUAAACAGUUGGAUGUGAAUAUUCCUAAAUGUAAUGAAUUACCGGUGCAUGGCCUACUUUGUGAUACUAAGACAGCUGUUCCUGAACCCAAUGGUGUCUCUGAAGCUACUAAAUAUGCAAAACAAAAGAGGAUCCUGAAAAAUGUUUCGCCUGGACGGGUUGAGCAAGAGUCUGUAUUCCUUGAAGAUGCACAGCACAGGUUAGGUAUAGAUGAUAUCCAAGUGGAGGAUAAAAUGCAAAGGCACUGGCAAAGUGAAAAAAAGACUGAAGAAGUACACAGGCCCCAAGAGCUGAAAAGG